AAAAGGAAAGCACGACCAAAGAGUUUACAGCAUCAAGUCCUUCUUUCUGCCAUCAAAAUUUUGCAAUAGAGAGAGCAUGACUUCCUCUUCUCAUAAGGUGAGAAGACAUAGAAAAUGGAAACCUGGCAGUUAAGCACUUUUACCUCCUCCAAGAAGGAGCUGCUUUAAACAACCGUGAAUAUGAAAACAGUACAAAGUUCUUUUAAAACCAAAGAAAAUUACUGAAUAUUCUUGUUAAUUAAAAUAGGUCUUGGGGAGGAGGGUUAAUGAGCAUCAUUGAAACAUUGCUGUGGUGACCUCACUAGUUAAUUUUUACAUUAAUUCUUAUGCAUUAUAUUGUAAUGUUGGCAUGCAUUACGUGCAAAAUUGUACUUGUAUAUUUGUGUGUAUCCACAAAAUGUCUACAAAAGGAAGAGAUUUCCUAAACUGUUCAUAUGGGCAUGAAUUGCCAUUUUAUCAGCAAGGACAGAAAAAGGCAAUAGAUUUUAUAGAUACACCGUCUCACAGGGAUCAGCUGGAACAUACACAGUUCACUUUUGGACCAGAAAAACCUACCUCAGCAGUAUUUUUGUUUGUCUUCACUGCAAUUUAUAUCUCCCAAGGAAAUGGUACUGCCUGUGUGAGGAAAGGGAAAAAAAGCAAUCUUUUGUCCUCCUGGAGAGAAAAGAAAAUGUAUUCUUACUGACUCCAGUUUUUCAACAUUCAGAGAUACCAAUUCUACUAACUUUGAUGGUUAUUUUUGGAAAGCUGAUGUAGAGAAUAUGCAGGCAGUUAUUAAGCCAUUUGUCUAUUAUAGCAGAAGAUUAGGAAGGGUUUGAUCUUCACUCAUGCAAGGGCAUUGUCUUUACUUAUAAAAGCUCUGCACUGAGCACACAGGGGUUCCUAACCUGGGGCUAGAUCACACCCUCAGCCUCCCCUAUUAAACCCUGGGAGGGGUUUUUCUUGUGGACUUUCCCAAACAUCAUCCAGUCAAGAGGGCAACAGUUACUGCUCUCCUCUUCCCCCACCACCAUCACCAUUUCCUCCCUUGCGGACUGAUCUGUAGGGCUGGUUCACAAGUUCCAGGGACCCCUUGGGACCCAGAAAGCAUUGGUGCCCCCACAAAAGGCCUUGUUCUCCAGAUCCCCUCUAGAACCCUGCUGCUGCUGCUGCCCAGUAUCUCCUGGCUUUGCAGCUGACUGCUAGAGGCAGCUCCCUGGGUCAUUUGGGUCUUUCUAUUUCCACCCUUGAUCUGGAAAGGUAAUAUAGAUCCAUGCAGUAAAGUGGAAAAGCAAAGCUCCUCUUGGGAAUUGCCUCUGGGGAUUAUUCAGCGAACAAAAAAGUUAUCUAAACAGUCAUGAAAAAGCAGUACAGCCCCAUAGCGAAAAAGAAAUAGAGG
rnacentral:lncRNA from 1 species